rnacentral:lncRNA from 1 species
UACACGAUGGAAAUAUUAUAUCAGUUGAUAAGCCUCAAAUGUUUCUGGAUUUCUGAAGAUCUUGUUAAUCAAUAACACCUCCACGUAUUGUUUUAUGCGAAAAUCUUUGAAAUAGUGGAGGAAAUUAUUUUUUUUCGAGGAUUAGAAAAUGUGCGUUAUAAAUUUUCCUUCAUAGUUUAACCGAAAAUAAUAAAAACCAAUGAGACACACGACAAUUUUGUAAAAAAUCUUGAGAGGGAAAACACCAGGUGGUGGAAGGUGGAAAACAACAUUUUAUUGUGAAACAUGCGAAAAUAAACCCGCUAUGCAUAUUGGAUAUUACUUCGAAUUGGAUCAUAUUACUAUAAAAGAUGAUAAGAAAUAAAUUUGGAUUUAUUUUUUGGUAAA